CCCAAACAGUCCCCCAGCGCUGGGUGCCUUUCGGGUGUCCUCAGGGGUUUGGCAGCUGCCGGGGGAGCUGGUGUCCUGAGGAAGUAAUUGGCGCCGGGUGAGACUGGGGGUGCUCAGCGCCCUUCACCGCAGCCGAAGCAGAACCAGCAGUGGAGGGCGGAGGUGACACCCCGAAACGCUGGAGGUUGGAGGCCCGGGUCGUAGACCGGACGCGUCGUGUCCGCAGCUUUGAGCUGAGCAGGACGGUGUGUGACCGGUGGCGCGGCAGCCCCGGGCUGUGUCUCCCAGCGUGACCCCGUGUGCGGCUGGGAAUGUGUGACGGGAUGUUGGGUUAAGUCAGUCUGUGCUGCAAUGUCUGGUGAAUCCUUUUCCCCAUGCUGCGUGCUGCCACAUCUCAAAGAAAGACCCUGACCCUGAGAAGAAGGAUUGUUGCAUGAUUAGAAACCCACGUCAGCUCUGGCUUUUCUGGAUUCUGUACUUCACCAGUAGAG